AUGUCAUCACUUUUCCUAAACAAAUCGCUGGAGGGGCUCAGAGAAGGGAGGGGCCCGGGAAACUGGGAAACUAGCUCCGCGCACAAGGAGGCAGCUCGCAGACGCACAAAUGCGAGUCCCCAAGGCAAAGUCGCCUCCAAGGCUUCUCUCAAACUUUGCUUCCUGCGCGUCUCUGACAGCACAGGACGUGUAGCCCCGCAGCUGUCAUCGGAAAUGCUGCUGGGAAAACCGGCGGGGAGGCGGUGGGGGCGGGCAGUUCAGCCGGUGUCUGCACCAGGGACAGUGGGGACUGGAAAUAUGGAGUUGAUGGGGACAAGUUGGUUUGGGGGCUGCUGCGAGGGAGCAGGGAGGGCGCGCGCACACACACGCGCGCGCACACACGGACACGCGCGCACACACACCGCGCAAACAUACGCACACAGGGGGCGCGAGAGCCCACGCCGGGCGUGUCAGGGAUCCCGAUGCUGCUCCCCACCCCUGACGGCGGCACUGGCUGACUGGGGCGGGGGCAGGGAGGCAGUUACCCGGGCCACGAGCGCCGCAGUCGCGUUCCCCGAGUGCCGCGGAUCCUCGUUUGCGGGCCGGGACGAGCUGAGCGCAGCCGGAUUCGCGGCGACAGGGUGCGGCGUCUGCGCCGCCACUUUAUCCCUGGGCCGGCUCGCCGGCGGGGGCGGCCCGAGGUGGGUGGGGACGCACGGGACCCGGCGGGCGGCGGGUGGCGCGGGGAGGCGGCGCCCGGGGCCCACGUGUGCCCGGCCCACGGGGAGGAGCAGGGGCGCCGCCCGCCGACCCAGCCAUGCGCUCCUUUCCGCCCCGCCUCAUGGACAGCCGCGCCCCGGGGUGGCCGCCCAGGGACUGUCAGGGGGGUCUGUACUGAGAUGGGUUCCUGGGAACCUCAGCGCAGGAGGACACACCACACCCACCGGCACACGCGAGCACACAGACCCACAGGCACCACAUGUACACAGACCACACUCACAGGGCCGAACACACACCACACACAUGCACCCUCCCAAAGUCACUACACUGCACGCAGGGACACAUAGACACACAUCCCAGAGAUACCACAUGCUUACAGACACAGACAGACCACACAUGCAUGCACACACACAGCACCCGACAAACCCAAGCGGCACAAAGACAGACACCUGA
rnacentral:lncRNA from 13 species